rnacentral:pre_miRNA from 1 species
AGUAGAAUUGCUGGGUCAUAUGGCAGCUCUACCUCUAGUUUUUUGAGGAACCACCAGACUGUUUUCCAUAAUGGCUGUACCAUUUUGCAUUCCCACCAGCAAU